CAAACCAGGAUGACACCGUUUUUCUCGUGCUUGAGGCUCAAUGUCCAGACUGGGAUAUUUAAACCUUGUCACGACAAUGUUUCUUUUAGAUUGGUGAAAAAUUUCAUACUGAGUUUUGUUAUUGGAUAUAUGAGAUAAAACAAAUUAUCAGAGAAGAAAGGAAGAUGAAAUCCAGUUCGAAAUGUUGCGUUACGAUUGUGCUUUUUGCUGCUUUUAUUUUUUUCCUAUUCAAUUUUAUUGAUUUUCAAAAUAAAAGGCAGUACACGUUGAACGAAACAAAUAAACAGAUAUAUGCCUCUGAGUUUAUUCAUAUCGCAAAAAGAAAUGAGUCAGCCCUCACAAACGAAGAAA